rnacentral:rRNA from 1 species
AGUGAACGCUGGCGGUAGGCCUAACACAUGCAAGUCGAACGGCAGCACAGGAGAGCUUGCUCUCUGGGUGGCGAGUGGCGGACGGGUGAGGAAUACAUCGGAAUCUGCCCAGUCGUGGGGGAUAACGUAGGGAAACUUACGCUAAUACCGCAUACGACCUUCGGGUGAAAGAGGGGGAUCGCAAGACCUCUCGCGAUUGGAUGAGCCGAUGUCGGAUUAGCUAGUUGGCGGGGUAAUGGCCCACCAAGGCGACGAUCCGUAGCUGGUCGGAGAGGAUGAUCAGCCACACUGGAACUGAGACACGGUCCAGACUCCUACGGGAGGCAGCAGUGGGGAAUAUUGGACAAUGGGCGCAAGCCUGAUCCAGCCAUACCGCGUGGGUGAAGAAGGCCUUCGGGUUGUAAAGCCCUUUUGUUGGGAAAGAAAUCUUUCAGGCUAAUACCCUGGGAGGAUGACGGUACCCAAAGAAUAAGCACCGGCUAACUUCGUG